rnacentral:rRNA from 1 species
UACGAAGGGGGCUAGCGUUGCUCGGAAUCACUGGGCGUAAAGGGUGCGUAGGCGGGUCUUUUAAGUCAGGGGUGAAAUCCUGGGGCUCAACUCCAGAACUGCCUUUGAUACUGAGGAUCUUGAGUUCGGGAGAGGUGAGUGGAACUGCGAGUGUAGAGGUGAAAUUCGUAGAUAUUCGCAAGAACACCAGUGGCGAAGGCGGCUCACUGGCCCGAUACUGACGCUGAGGUGCGAAAGCGUGGGGAGCAAACAGG